rnacentral:rRNA from 1 species
CUCUUAUGAGUUAGCGGCGGACGGGUGAGUAACACGUGGGUAACCUGCCCAUAAGACUGGGAUAACUCCGGGAAACCGGGGCUAAUACCGGAUAACAUUUUGAACCGCAUGGUUCGAAAUUGAAAGGCGGCUUCGGCUGUCACUUAUGGAUGGACCCGCGUCGCAUUAGCUAGUUGGUGAGGUAACGGCUCACCAAGGCAACGAUGCGUAGCCGACCUGAGAGGGUGAUCGGCCACACUGGGACUGAGACACGGCCCAGACUCCUACGGGAGGCAGCAGUAGGGAAUCUUCCGCAAUGGACGAAAGUCUGACGGAGCAACGCCGCGUGAGUGAUGAAGGCUUUCGGGUCGUAAAACUCUGUUGUUAGGGAAGAACAAGUGCUAGUUGAAUAAGCUGGCACCUUGACGGUACCUAACCAGAAAGCCACGGCUAACUACGUG